AUGGAAUGAUCAUUUUUCAAUCUUACAUUUACCAGAUUCACAUGAUUUGAACCACACUAAUUUGAUUAAUGAGACAAAGAUCGACUCAUCUUCUCCACCAAAACAAAAACAAAAAAGCAAAUUCACAAUCGGCUUGUUCACCUCGACUAGGCUAGAGUCAUACUUGUUGGCCGAAAGCUCGGGGCUCUAAACAGAGUCAUUGGAAGCACAUGAGAAAGCCCCCGCCUCCGCCUGAAUAUCCUCCGCCCGAUCAAUGGCGGUGCCGUCUCGAUAGAUACAAACCUUCACCGACCUAUCAUCUCCGUCGUCAUCCCGCCGGUCUCACCUUUACCAGAACCGCCUUUGCCUGUCUCGCCUUUACCAGUGCCGUCGUCACCGGCUUCAAGCUCACGCCGCUCUUUCUCUUAACACACCACAAGUGCUCGGCCUCGUUAAAUUCGUCGUCGGAAUAGUAGUCCAACCGACGAUGACGUGUACGAGAGAGAGAGAGAGAGAGAGAGAGAGAGAGAGAGAGAGAGAGAGAGAGAGAGAGAGUGAGAGAGAGAGAAUCGGAUGAAUUUGAGAGAGAGACAGAUCUGAGGGAUGUGGGAGACAGGUGAGAGAGAGGGUAGUCUCGUCAACAAAAAUAGAGAAAAAUGAAGAUUUGGGCCAAUGGGCUCAAGACAGUUAGAGUGUAUAAGGUCAGUGGGAAUUUUGAAAUCUUGUUUUGUUGAUGAGAAAAAAUUGUCUAGAUUUAUAACUAAUGGGAAUUUUCCCAAAAAAGAAAACAUACAAUCCACUGCGUAGAUUUACUUUGCAUAAAUACCACUGAGAAAUAAAUAAACUCCUUGCUAGAAAGAAGGCUGAAUGUUAAUUGCACACCAGCGUCAUCAUCAACGAGUUCGUCCUCUGUUCUGAAAAAAUCGAAACAUAAGAGUUGUAUGUUCCUUAAAGAAAUAAGGACAUUCUUGUCGGAAAAAAAGAAAAAAAAAAAUAAGGAUAUACAAAAGAUAC
rnacentral:lncRNA from 1 species